rnacentral:rRNA from 1 species
UACGUAGGGGGCUAGCGUUGUCCGGAAUCAUUGGGCGUAAAGCGCGCGUAGGUGGCUUCGUAAGUCCGUUGUGAAAGUCAAAGGCUCAACCUUUGAAUGCCGAUGGAUACUGCGAAGCUAGAGUACGGAAGAGGAGUGUGGAAUUCCUGGUGUAGCGGUGAAAUGCGCAGAUAUCAGGAGGAACACCAAUGGCGAAGGCAGCACUCUGGGACGUGACUGACGCUGAGACGCGAAAGCGUGGGGAGCAAACAGG